ACUUGAUGGAUGACAUAGCAGAUAAUUGUCAGCUAAAUAUGUGAUGCCCAGAGAACACUGAUAAGAAAAUGUGACUCCUGGCAGAGUACCCAAGUCAACACACUGGAUUGAACACAACAACACAG